GCUGUGGCCCAGUGCACAAACAGGCGGUUGUCCGUGCUUGUGCACGAGGCGGAAGUGGGGCGCUCCUGCUGCACUGGCCGCCGGAGUUGGGGGCGAGCUCGGUGGUGACGUGAAGUGCUCACGUGAUCGCGAGCUGCAGAGCGACGCAGCCUUCGGUGCAGUCGUCACUCCUGUCUGGGUACCGGCUCCCCGCUCCCCUGCGCACGGCGGGUUGGCAUCAGGCCCGCAGCAAGCGGAGCAGGUCUGCCGAACUAAGUGUGGCGGCGGCGCACUCGUAGCGAGGAUCAGAAGGAGCAAGAGACAGCGAGGAUAGGCCCAGAAAAAUAACCGGGGGAAAAAAAUCUCAUCAUGGCUAAUAUCCACCAGGAAAACGAAGAAAUGGAGCAACCCGUGCAGAACGGAGAGGAAGACCGCCCUUUGGGAGGGGGCGAAGGCCACCAGCCAGAAAGAAAUCAUAGACGGGGACAGGCUCGCCGACUUGCCCCUAAUUUCCGAUGGGUUAUACCCAAUAGACAGGUCAAUGAUGGGAUGGGUGGAGAGGGAGACGAUAUGGAAAUAUUCAUGGAGGAGAUGAGAGAAAUCAGGAGAAAACUUAGGGAGCUGCAGUUGAGGAAUUGUCUGCGUAUCCUUAUGGGGGAGCUCUCUAAUCACCAUGACCAUCAUGAUGAAUUUUGCCUUAUGCCUUGACUCCUGCCAUUUCCAUGAGAUUAAUACUGUGAUUUCCACUGUUGUUCUGUUUUUCCUUGCAUUUUCCUGAUAAUGCCUUUACUGAUCCGUUUGCUGUGAACCUUAUGUAAUUUCAGUGUGUCAGGUGGGUUCUGUGUUACCAGCUUCUAAUUGCAGAUUGCCUUGGCAUCCAAUCUAAGUUUCUGUCAACAGUAAAGUUUCACCCAUUUGCAUGGAAAAAUGUAAAGUUAAUAAAGUAAUUAAAAAGCAA